UUAUUGGAGAGUUUGAUCCUGGCUCAGGACGAACGCUGGCGGCGUGCCUAAUACAUGCAAGUCGAGCGAGUCUCUUCGGAGGCUAGCGGCGGACGGGUGAGUAACACGUAGG
rnacentral:rRNA from 1 species